AUCUCAUGGUGAAGGCAUUUAUGAAGUAACUCCUUGAAUCUAUCCCAUGCCUCAUAUAGGGACUCAUCUUCCAAUUUUUGAACAGUGGUGAUCUCAUUCUACAACU
rnacentral:snoRNA from 1 species